AACGAACGCUGGCGGCAUGCCUAACACAUGCAAGUCGAACGAGACCUUCGGGUCUAGUGGCGCACGGGUGCGUAACGCGUGGGAACCUGCCCUUAGGUUCGGAAUAACUCCCCGAAAGGGGUGCUAAUACCGGAUAAUGUCUUCGGACCAAAGAUUUAUCGCCUUUGGAUGGGCCCGCGUUGGAUUAGCUAGUUGGUAGGGUAAAAGCCUACCAAGGCGACGAUCCAUAGCUGGUCUGAGAGGAUGAUCAGCCACACUGGGACUGAGACACGGCCCAGACUCCUACGGGAAGCAGCAGUGGGGAAUAUUGGACAAUGGGCGAAAGCCUGAUCCAGCAAUGCCGCGUGAGUGAUGAAGGCCUUAGGGUUGCAAAGCUCUUUUACCCGGGAUGAUAAUGACAGUACCGGGAGAAUAAGCUCCGGCUAACUCCGUG
rnacentral:rRNA from 1 species